ACCACUUUGUGAGUCAUGACUGGGGUGAAGUCGUAACAAGGUAACAGCAGGGGAACCUGCGGUUGGAUCACCUCCUUACCGUAAAAAAGCGUA
rnacentral:rRNA from 1 species